CUUCGAGGAAUCGAGUUGAGGUACGAGUUUAUGUUUAAGUUAAGUUAAUUGGUGAGUUGCAGUUAAUUAUGGGGUUAACUGAAUUGAUUGGAUAAUGGUAUAUGAUAGUAUGCAUGCAUAAAUCUCAUGAGUUAUGUAUUGUUCUUUCUAGUUUUGUAUAGGCAUUGUAGUAGUUACAUGAUAUAGUUGAUUACUAUCUGUUCUCUUUUCUUGCCUACAUAUGCUUGAAUAAACCUAGUGGGUGAGUCGGCGAGGUCGGCAGCCGAACCUACUGGAAACUUUCAGUAGUUCUCACCCCACUAACCAUGCAGGUUCUAGCAAGUGCUGGGUGGUUGAGGAUCGUGACAGAGACAGCUCGCCAUAGAUAGCGACAUCCAU
rnacentral:lncRNA from 1 species